rnacentral:lncRNA from 1 species
AACAAAGGAGGAAAAUGGAGCACCAUCAAGAUUUUAAAGGGUGGGAUACACAGAAAGUGCUUGUUUCAUGUGAACUUGCUGAUUCUAGAGGAAACAAAGACAGGGAGAGGUAAUGGAUGGUGUUCCACCCACUGAUCAUCAGCAAAUGUUUUCUGAGCAAAACUAUGUCCAAUAUCUUAUGCUAGGUGGUAUUGUGAAUAUUUUUAAACAUAAUACAUAGUUCCUGGCCACAAUGAACUUAUAAUCUAUUUGGGGAUCAAUAAUUUGCAUGCCUGAAAAGAUAGCUGAAAACACAAAGCAUGGUAGAUGAGCACUGAAUUUAUGGGACAUAAAAAGUGCUGAAAGAAUACAGAGGUGGAGGAGUAAUACUACUAAAAGUGUUAGUCAGAGAAAAUUUCAAUAAGGAGUUGAAAACUGAUCAUAGGGCAUCAUGGAUGCAGAAGUUGCAAGCCCUGCAUCCUUCACCCUGUGCUACAAGUAACCAAAACUGCUUACAUUAUCAGAGAACAGGUGGAGGGGAGGGAAGGUAUCCUGGGAACUGAAGGUCCAAAGAGUGCCACACUAUUGGCACAGUCUCUCAGAUUCAAUUACAUGAGAAAUGUCUUCCGGUCCCAGAAUGUCAGUUCCACUCACUGGUGUGCUAGAACUGGUCCAGGUAAUUUUUAAAUGAACAGUGUAAGUAUUUAUCUCUCAGUAGUACGCAAACACUACAAAAAUAGGGAUUGAUUUAUUAUUUUAUUUAUUCCAGAAAUUUAGGAAAGUGAUGGAGAAAUUGUCAAUAUCUAGAUUAAACUCAAAAGUAUAUCGGGGGAAAUCUGGGAGGAGGUUGAAAUGAGAAUGAGAGUUGAUUGUUCAUCACUUAACAGAACACCACUGGUUCCACCUCUCUGACUUAAAUAGACAAGGUUGCUUUGAGUUACUGGAGGAAAAAAACAUUUCCCCCAACAUUCUAACAUGCAGCUUCUAGAUUGUGACAGCAGAAAUUGUUUUUGGCUUUCUUUUUUUGUAUCACUGGCACUUAGCACAGUGCCUGGCAGAUAGUAGGCACUUAAGAAAUGCCAGUUGACUGAAAUUCACUUGUGUUCUAAUUAUUUCAGAAGAUCAUAACUUUAUAGGUAGAAAACAUCUUAGCAAUCUCAUUUUACAGAUAAGAAAACUGAGGUCCAGAAAGGUAAAAUUAAU